UACGGAGGGAGCUAGCGUUGUUCGGAUAUACUGGGCGUAAAGCGCACGUAGGCGGCGCCGUAAGUCAGGGGUGAAAUCCCGGAGCUCAACUCCGGAACUGCCCUUGAAACUGCAGUGCUAGAAUCCUGGAGAGGCGAGUGGAAUUCCGAGUGUAGAGGUGAAAUUCGUAGAUAUUCGGAAGAACACCAGUGGCGAAGGCGACUCGCUGGACAGGUAUUGACGCUGAGGAGCGAAAGCAUGGGGAGCGAACAGG
rnacentral:rRNA from 1 species